rnacentral:rRNA from 1 species
UACGUAGGGUGCGAGCGUUGUCCGGAAUUAUUGGGCGUAAAGAGCUUGUAGGUGGUUUGUCGCGUCGACUGUGAAAUCCCGCGGCUCAACUGCGGGUCUGCAGUCGAUACGGGCAGGCUAGAGUUCGGUAGGGGAGACUGGAAUUCCUGGUGUAGCGGUGAAAUGCGCAGAUAUCAGGAGGAACACCGAUGGCGAAGGCAGGUCUCUGGGCCGAUACUGA